CAGCCGCCGCGGUAAUACAGAGGGUGCAAGCGUUAAUCGGAAUUACUGGGCGUAAAGCGCGCGUAGGUGGUUUGUUAAGUUGGAUGUGAAAUCCCCGGGCUCAACCUGGGAACUGCAUCCAAAACUGGCAAGCUAGAGUAUGGUAGAGGGUGGUGGAAUUUCCUGUGUAGCGGUGAAAUGCGUAGAUAUAGGAAGGAACACCAGUGGCGAAGGCGACCACCUGGACUGAUACUGACACUGAGGUGCGAAAGCGUGGGGAGCAAACAGGAUUAGAUACCCGGGUAGUCCCUGUCUCUUAUAC
rnacentral:rRNA from 1 species